CCUACGGGAGGCAGCAGUGGGGAAUAUUGCACAAUGGGGGAAACCCUGAUGCAGCGAAGCCGCGUGAGUGAAGAAGGAAUUCGUUAUGUAAAGCUCUAUCAGCAGGGAAGAAAAUGACGGUACCUGAGUAAGAAGCCGCGGCUAACCACGUGACAGAAGCCGCGGUAACACGGAGGGGGCAAGCGUUAUCCGGAUUUAGUGGGUGUAAAGGGAGCGUAGACGGCAGUGCAAGUCUGGAGUGAAAGGCGGGGGCUCAACCCACGGACUGCUCUGGAAACUGUACGGCGUGAGUGCAGGAGAGGUAAGUGGAAUUCCUAGUGUAGCGGUGAAAUGCGUAGAUAUUAGGAGGAACACCAGUGGCGAAGGCGGCUUACUGGACUGUAACUGACGUUGAGGCUCGAAAGCGUGGGGAGCAAACAGGAUUAGAUACCCGGGUAGUC
rnacentral:rRNA from 1 species